rnacentral:rRNA from 1 species
UACGUAGGGGGCAAGCGUUGUCCGGAAUUAUUGGGCGUAAAGCGCGCGCAGGCGGUUUCUUAAGUCUGAUGUGAAAGCCCACGGCUUAACCUUGGAGGGUCAUUGGAAACUUGGGAACUUGAGUACAGAAGAGGAGAGUGGAAUUCCACGUGUAGCGGUGAAAUGCGUAGAUAUGUGGAGGAACACCAGUGGCGAAGGCGACUCUCUGGUCUGUAACUGAAGCUGAGGCGCGAAAGCGUGGGGAGCGAACAGG